GUAGGAGCCGGCUUGCUGGCGAUUGGGACAACCCGGUCUGUCUGAAACACCGCAGCGUCCUUAUCGCCAGCAAGCCGGCUCCUAC
rnacentral:misc_RNA from 1 species